ACGACUGAGCCACCCAGGCGCCCAAUACCAACAUUUUUGUAUUAAAAAGUUUUGAUGUGAUUUUAUAUGAGGUAGAAGCCUUUAACCUGUUUUGGAAAAUUGUCAGUAGGUUUCUGGUAUGAACAGGAGAGUUUUGAAAUGGUAAAGAAAUUGCUACUCUUUCUACAGUUUGGCCACAUGGGUUUUGAUUCUGUGUAUUUUUAUUUUUCCUGGGAAAAAAGCUUUGAGUCAAGUGGCAGUAAGGCAAAAAGAUAGUUGACAUUCUUAGGAGCAACCGAGGGACGAGUGCUGUGCGCUGGGCAGGGGGAGGGGCGAAGGAAGAGAAGGAGUGGAGAGCUGACAGGGGCCAGGGCCUGUGGAAGGAGCCAGAGCCCCACUGGACAGGAGUGUUGACAUCCCAAGCCCAUGCCAGCAUCCGAAAACUCCUGGGCCCACAUGUUCUCCUUCCUAAGGGGCAGCCUACUUAGUGUGAAUGACAUCUGUGGGAGCUUCACUCCGAGGUCUGAAGCAAACACAGCCCACUGGUUACCGGCCGAGGUGACAUCUUGAGACUACCCACCUAGCCGGGCUUUUGCAUUCUGGAGCUGCCCUGUCCAAGAUGGUAGCCACUGGCUACAUGUGUUUGUUUGUUUGUUUGUUUUUAAAUUUACAUUUCAAUUCAGAUGAAAUAAAAUUAAGAAGUCAGUUCUUAAUUUUGAGUACCCGUGUACACAGGUAGCUUUGGCUUGUGGCUACCAUAUUGGAUGAUUCAAGCAAAGAAUAUUUCCAUCAACACAGAAAGUUCUAUUGAAUGUCUCUGUUCCAGAAUGCCACAGAGUGCUCAAACACUGAAGAAAUAUAAAAUGCCUCUCCCGACUUCCUCUUCUUAUAUUACCUUUCUUUCUUUACUUGCAUUAGAAUGGCCUAGCAAUAUAUUCCUCAGAGGCUGAAAAAGAUAAGAUGUUUGUUAUCAAAGACCUGGGUUCACAUCUCAGCUCCCCCACGUCAAGUUUACAAGAGUCACUUCGUCUGUUUCUGUGUCAGUAAAAUGAGGAUAAUAAACCACCUCCCCAGGUUGUGAAGAUCAGAUGGGAUAAUAAACAUGAAGUUAUUGAUAAGUCCUAUGCACUGUACAAAUUCUCACUAAAUGAUGCACAAAGAGUAGAAGGAGGGGAGAUUGUCAUUAGAGUUCUGUCAAAAAAGGGGUGGGUUUUGGAAUAAUACUGGUGGCUUUUCAGAGGGGACUGUAAAGGUAAAAUCAGGACACUUUCCUUGAGGGGGGAAAGCACCUACCUCCCACUCCCCGCUCCUUAGCGGGUCUUCAUGCAAACAUAAUAGGCCUAGAAGAGGCAUGACCUUUUGAUUUUAUAAUGCAAGGUCGAGGGCCUUCUGAGCCCUGGAAUGUAAACACACACUGUGAACAUGAACUCAGGAGUCUCUGGAGGUACUCAGGAGAUUAUCACAAGGCUCACCAUUUGUCUUUCAAGGAGAUGAAAGAUGAGAGAAGUUUUCCUUCUUCCUUCUUCCACCUUACUGCAUAAAUUCAUAUGAAAUUGUGUCCCAACUCCAAUCACUUUUGAGUCACCUUCCAUGUGAGUCUGUUGGUUUUUACCUAACAAUAAACUGUGUUUGCUCUCUUUUG